rnacentral:misc_RNA from 1 species
GAUGAAGAACGUAGCGAAAUGCGAUAAGUAAUGUGAAUUGCAGAAUUCAGUGAAUCAUCGAAUCUUUGAACGCACCUUGCGCCCUUUGGCCAUUCCGAAGGGCAUGCCUGUUUGAGUAUCAUGAACACCUCAACUCUUCAUGGUUUUCCGUGAUGAGCUUGGACUUUGGGGGUCUUGCUGGCCUAUGGUCAGCUCCUCUAAAAUAAAUCAGCUUGCCAGUGUUUGGUGGGUAUCACAGGUGUGAUAACUAUCUACGCUUGUGGUUGUCCACCAGGUAACCUUCAGCAGUGGAGGUUCGCUGGAGCUCACAGAUGUGUCUCUCCUCAGUGAGGACAGCUCUUUGAAUGUUUGAUCUCAAAUCAGGUAGGACUACCCGCUGAACUUAAGCAUAUCAAUAAGCGGAGGA